rnacentral:snRNA from 1 species
ACAUGAGGUUAAUCGGGCAUCUCUCAGCCCAUUGAUCCCCAGGGUUCAAUUCAGCUGAUCUGGCAGACUACGUGUCCCCUUUGCCUCUCACCCCUCAACACAUAUCCCGCUGGAAGCUGACAGUCCUCCCCCAAAUAAAGAAAGAGCUCUUCUGUUCUUGGGUAGACUGUAUGUGCACAGCUGCGCUUCCCGACCAAAACCUCCAAACCAGCUCUCAGUCUGAGGAGUGGUAAUAUCUCCAGAAAUUGUGUAAUAAGAAUGGAGGACAGUGUUUUUCUGCCUUUCUGU